ensembl:snRNA U2 U2 spliceosomal RNA
AUCGCUUCUCUGCCUUUUGGCUAAGAUCGAGUGUAGUAUCUGUUCUUAUCAGUUUAACAUCUGAUACGUCCUGUAUAUUAGGACUACAUAUCAAAUUGAUUUUUAGAACAGGGAGACGGAAGAGGGGCUUGCUCCCUUCGUGCCACGCAUUGACCUGGUAUUGCAGUACCUCUGGGAACAGUGCAUCUCCU